AAUUAAACUGUAAAAUAAUUCUAGAGGGCUUGAUUGAUCCCUCUUAUAAUCUUCUAUUUAUAAUAAUAAAUUGAUACAAGAGUACAUGAUAAUUAGAGUAACCUAGACACAAUAUAAUCAUGAUAAUUAGAGUAACCUAGACACAAUAUAAUCAUGAUAAUUGGAGUAACCCUAGACACAAUAUAAUCAUGAUAAUUAGAGUAACCCUAGACACAAUAUAAUCAUGAUAAUUAGAGUAACCCUAGACACAAUAUAAUCAUGAUAAAUAGGAUAAAUAUCCUAACACUCCCCCUCAAGCUGGAGCAUACAAAUUGUAUGUACCAAGCUUGGAACAAAUAAACUCAAUCCGAGUACCCCU
rnacentral:lncRNA from 1 species